rnacentral:rRNA from 1 species
UGGGGAAUAUUGGACAAUGGGCCACNAGCCUGAUCCAGCAAUUCUGUGUGCACGAUGAAGGUCUUCGGAUUGUAAAGUGCUUUCAGUUGGGAAGAAGAAAGUGACGGUACCAACAGAAGAAGCGACGGCUAAAUAUGUGCCAGCAGCCGCGGUAAUACAUAUGUCGCAAGCGUUAUCCGGAUUUAUUGGGCGUAAAGCGCGUCUAGGCGGUUUACUAAGUCUGAUGUGAAAAUGCGGGGCUCAACUCCGUAUUGCGUUGGAAACUGGUAGACUAGAGUACUGGAGAGGUGGGCGGAACUACAAGUGUAGAGGUGGAAUUCGUAGAUAUUUGUAGGAAUGCCGAUGGAGAAGUCAGCUCACUGGACAGAUACUGACGCUAAAGCGCGAAAGCGUGGGGAGCAAACAGGAUUAGAUACCCUGGUAGUCCACGCCGUAAACGAUGAUCACUAGGUGUUGGGGGUCGAACCCCAGCGCCCAAGCUAACGCGAUAAGUGAUCCGCCUGGGGAGUACGCACGCAAGUGUG